rnacentral:rRNA from 1 species
GCAUAUCCAAUAAAGCGGAGGAAAAAGAAAACCAGACAGGGAUUCCCCCCAGUAACGGCGAGGUGAAGGCGGGCAAAAGCUCAAAUUUGAAAUCUGGCUCCUUCGGGGGUCCCGAGUUGUAAUUUUGUAGAGGGAUGCUUCGGGUGCGGCCACGGCCUAAGUUCCUUGGAACAGGACGUCAUAGAGGGUGAGAAUCCCGUCUUGGGUCGUUGGUCCACGCCCGUGUGAAGCUCCUUCGACGAGUCGAGUUGUUUGGGAAUGCAGCUCUAAGCGGGUGGUAAAUUUCAUCUAAAGCUAAAUAUUGGCCGGAGACCGAUAGCGCACAAGUAGAGUGAUCGAAAGGUUAAAAGCACCUUGAAAAGGGAGUUAAACAGCACGUGAAAUUGUUGAAAGGGAAGCGCUUGCGGCCAGACUCGGGCGCAGGGUUCAGCGGGUGCGUGUCACCCGUGCACUCCCUGCCGCCCGGGCCAGCAUCAGUUCUAACGGUCGGUCAAAGGCCCCCGGAAUGUGUCGUCUCUCGGGACGUCUUAUAGCCGGGGGUGCAAUGCGGCCCGUCGGGACUGAGGAACGCGCUUCGGCUCGGAUGCUGGCGUAAUGGCCGUAAGCGGCCCGUCUUGAAACACGGACCAAGGAGUCUAACAUCCACGCGAGUGUUCGGGUGUCAAACCCGUGCGCGCAGUGAAAGCGAACGGAGGUGGGAGCCUUAGGGCGCACCAUCGACCGAUCCUGAAGUCUUCGGAUGGAUUUGAGUAGGGAGCGUGGCCGUUGGGACCCGAAAGAUGGUGAACUAUGCCUGAAUAGGGUGAAGCCAGAGGAAACUCUGGUGGAGGCUCGCAGCGGUUCUGACGUGCAAAUCGAUCGUCAAAUUUGGGCAUAGGGGCGAAAGACUAAUCGAACCAAUCUAGUAGCUGGGUUCUGCGAG